CAGUCGCCACGGUAAUACGUAGGGUGCGAGCGUUGUCCGGAAUUAUUGGGCGUAAAGAGCUUGUAGGUGGUUUGUCGCGUCUGCUGUGAAAAUCCGAGGCUCAACCUCGGACUUGCAGUGGGUACGGGCAGACUAGAGUGUGGUAGGGGAGACUGGAAUUCCUGGUGUAGCGGUGUAAUGCGCAGAUAUCAGGAGGAACACCGAUGGCGAAGGCAGGUCUCUGGGCCAUUACUGACACUGAGAAGCGAAAGCAUGGGGAGCGAACAGGAUUAGAUACCCCUGUAGUCCCUGUCUCUUAUAU
rnacentral:rRNA from 1 species